CGUAGGUGCAAGCGUUAAUCGGAAUUACUGGCGUAAGCGUGCGCAGGCGGUUGUGUAAGUCAGAUGUGAAUCCCCGGCGUCAACCUGGGAAUUGCAUUUGAGACUGCACGGCUAGAGUGUGUCAGAGGGGUAGGAAUUCCACGUGUAGCAGUGAAAUGCGUAGAUAUGUGGAGGAAUACCGAUGGCGAAGGCAGCCCCUCGGGAUAACACUGACGCUCAUGCACGAAAGCGUGGGAGCAAACAGGAUU
rnacentral:rRNA from 1 species